UACGGAGGGAGCUAGCGUUGUUCGGAAUUACUGGGCGUAAAGCGUGCGUAGGCGGUGACUCAAGUCAGAGGUGAAAGCCUGGAGCUCAACUCCAGAACUGCCUUUGAAACUAGGUCGCUAGAAUCUGGGAGAGGUGAGUGGAAUUCCGAGUGUAGAGGUGAAAUUCGUAGAUAUUCGGAAGAACACCAGUGGCGAAGGCGGCUCACUGGACCAGAAUUGACGCUGAGGCACGAAAGCGUGGGGAGCAAACAGGAUUAGAAACCCCUGUAGUCC
rnacentral:rRNA from 1 species